CUGAGCCGAAGCCAGACGCUUAACGACUGAGCCACCCAGGCGCCCCGUGAUGUGCCCUUGGAAGGGCCAGGGAGGCCAAAGGCAGUGGAUGAAGGGCAAGGUGGUGGCUGUGAAGGGGACAAAGUGAUGACGCAGACGGGAUCUUACACAUGACGGGAUCUUACACAUGAGGAUGGUGACGGGGUCAAAUCCUAACACAUUCUCUUGAGUCAUCGCACCUCUGAGGGAAGGCCCGUGACUGCCCAGCUAUGGAGAUCAUGGACCUGGGGAGAAGGACCCGCCACACAGCCUUUGCUCUGGAACACUUCGCCUCAAAUACCCGAAAACGCAGAUCUGAGUGUCACGUCCCCUCGCUGACCCGCCGUGACGCGUGACGUGGGCUUCCUUCUAGUAUUUGCGCACCUAACGCGUGUUGGGUUUCGGAAGGAAUGGUGGGGGUGGGCAUGCCAAGCACGGCCGGGGCCCUCGGGGAACCCCGUGAGAUGUUUAGGAUAAACAGUGUGACUUUAUUGAAAAAUAGGCAAUGUCUAUUCUGCUUGAGGUCAUCAGGGAAAGCUGGGAAUAAGUCAGCCGGUGUUGACUCGCGAUAAGGCCACUCCAGUACUGUUUCCUGAAUGUUCGCUUGGGACCAGGAAUGAGGCCAAGAGCUUUCCUAUCAUAAAGGACUCAUUCUGCAGCCAGCCACUGAAGCCUGUGUUCUCUUGCGAGGUCUGGGGGGAGCCCCAUCCCCUGGAUGAGGAAACCACAGCAGAGGCGAAUGAAUACACUCGAGUCACCCGGUUCUUACGUCGUGGAACUACUGAUGGGAAUGUCUCUGGGGGGCUGCCUUGGGGGGGCUAGUCCGAGCGUGUCCAGAGCAGCUGACCUUGUCUGGACCUUCCGCAGUGCGCCUGCUUCAUCCAGGGUCCUCAUGAUGGGUGCGCAGGCGAUGAGGUGAGCUGGGGGAGGAGACUAGGAGCAGCUGACGACGGAGAACUUCAAAUGUCAGAUUCCUUGCCCCCUGGACACAGUGGGGGCCACUGCAGUUUUAAUUUUGCCUUCAUCGGUGCUACGGAGGAAAUGAUAUAGGAAGUGUAAGACUGAAUGAUUUCAAUCAGAGUGUGUGGGUAGGAGAGUCGGGACACAAGCCCACCAAGGAAGUCUAGCAAGUGUGGGUGUUCACAGUGGAGUGUCCACACAAGGGCGAACAUAAGCUUGCAGAUAGAAAAGAUCAAAGGAUGGCAAUAAUUAUAAAAGAAAAGCCAGAAUUAAUAAAAAGAAAAAAAGAGCAUGCCUGUCGGCUAAUGGCCAAUUUGAUGCAGCAGCAGGUUUUCCCCCCGAAAUCUAAAAGAAAGCAGGUGGAGGGAGCUCCUGCCCUCAGCGAGUCUGUCGUCUGACUAGGUCAGUCUGCAGGCAAGUGAAGCCGAAGGCAGGAGGCAGAGCAGCUCGAGGCAGAGUCACGAUGACCCGUGGUGGUGACCAUGACUUUGGGCGUCGGGGGUGAAUGACGUGAAUUCCAAACCUUAGGGGCAGGUCAAUACCCUGGUUCCAGCAGCAGGAGGCACACUCUAGAUGGAGACAAAGCCACCAAAUCAACAAGACCAGCGGCUUCUGCCUCCACAGUGCCCUGGUCUCCCGGCACCCCCUCUGCAGAAGAGUGGGGUACGCGGAUUGCCACGGGUGCCUGGAUGAGGGCAGAUUGCCGCUGGUGCCUGGAGUCCACUGAUGGCAGCAAAGGCAUCUCUCCCGCCAACAGCAGUGGCCCAUGUCCCAGACUCCAGGGAGUACAAGGUCCUCCCAAUCUUGCAUUCUGAGCCCAGUCUCCGUCUAGGUACCAGCACUUUCUGAGGCUAGGUGGCCAGCACUCACACAGACUCCCAGGGCUGCGUAUGUACGGAUCGGGAUGGCCUUGGGAUCCCAUCAGCUUGUGGGUGUUGGGUGAGGCCGCUGCUCCCAGGAUCGUGGUAGAGGCAGUUCAUCACAGAGAGCCCUAGGGGCGCCCCUCACUUUCAAACUCUGUCAUCUUGGACCCCUUGCUCUGGCCACUCGAAGGCCAUCAAGUCUCAGCUCACCCAAUGCAAUGUUCUGCCUUGUUUAAAGGGUGGGGUUUUGUCCCUGCUUUUCUGUCAACCGUUUGUGAUUACCUGGACUUGAAAUUAUUAGGUGCCUCAUCAAGCCUCAUCCAACAGCUCCUGGGCAAUCAGACCACUGUUUCACCAAUGUCCAGACCUCAUCUGUGUCCUCAUGCGGUUUUGGGUCCCUGCAAUGUGUUUGGUGCCCCGUGUGAGGGGGGCCUGCUGCCUGGAUGCCCAUCCCGGGAUCUGCGUUGAAGCCAAUGGUGACGACACUUCCUGGGUGCUGACCUGUCUCUUGCCCCUUGCCCACCUUGGCUGCUCCUGUUCUUGGCGUGGACUGUGGUCAUUACGCAAAGCAGCUGCUUGCAGGGAUGAGCGACAGAACUGGCCUUCACGGCGGUGCUGCCCAGGUGCCAGCAGGAACAUCACAGCAAGGUCAGCAUGCAGGCCCUGGGGAGUGGCCCAGAAGAUGCCCAAGCCCCGCCGGUUGUGGUCAUCCAGUGUCAUGAAGACAUGCGUCUGCGACCUGAUGACGACACUCAUCCAUUGCCCCCAGGGCAUGACCCCGGCACCUGCGUAUUUCCAGCCCCCGUGGUGGCAGGAUUCUGGGAUGGAGCCGAUUUACCUGAAGCGGCCACAUUCAGGAAGGUUGGGCUUGCGGUGUCCAGGUAACUACCUCGGACAGUUUGUAACACAGGCGACCUGGUAACAUAAUUAUCCCCAGUCUUCCUUCAGUUCUAAAAAGGCUUUUUCUCUUCGAGACUGAUGCUCAUGUGCACAGACUGGGGGCCGUGUCCCCUGGUUGGAGAUUUCCUCCUUCGAUGAUGAUGGGCUGUCUUCCGUUUCACCCUUGACCAUGCCCGCUUUGCACAAAUGUUGCUGGCAUCUCCGUGGUGUUUUCCACUAAAGAUCCUUAGUUUAUAACCCAUUGUACACGUUGUGAUUGUUUUUGUGCUUUGGGAAUCAGGAGGAAUGUUGGGAGCCGUAUCUGUCAGGGUUCAGUAAAGAACUCAGAAGGCUUGAGGUGUCUCAAGCAGGGCAUUUAAUUCAGGAUGUCAGAUGUGUUUGGAGCUGUUGGAAGUUCGGGGGGAGACCCUGCAGCCAACAGCAGCUCCAGGGGUAAGGCCACCCCUGUGGCCUGAGCUGCCUUUAGCGCCUAGACGGGGUUCGCAGAAGCUCGCCCUGGAUCUCCUGCGUCUACCACAGGCCUGGCUCCACCAGAGUAAAACAAGGGCAUCUCCGUCGGGUUUCGGAUCUCACCUGACUACCCCUCCCCGGCAGACUCCUGAGAGCGUGCUGGAAAGACGUCUGGGAAUUGUGAGGGCUGCCCUGUGGCACAUGGACAGGAGGGGACUCGGGAGACGGGAGAAAACACGGGCUGCCGUGGGGAGUCCUUUCUACUUCCUGCAUGUGCUGGGAAAGCAUUGCUUCCAGGAAGUCCUGGCUAAGAAGUCCCACAGUACAUCUUACGGGAAAGCUGUCCUCUGGCCAUAGGGACACCUAGAGGUAAGCCUACACAGGCAAAAUCAGCACGACACCCCUCCCACUUGACAUGACUACGGUCCUAGUGAUGAUGGUGCAGCUGGUCACCGCCACCAUCCCCGUGGUCACCGGCAUC